rnacentral:snRNA from 2 species
AUGCUCACUUUAGCAGCACAAACACAAGAAUUGGAAGGACAUGGAGAAGAUCAGCAAGGCCCCUGCUCAAGGAUGGCAUGCAAAUUCAUAAAGUAUUUCAUAUUUUU